rnacentral:rRNA from 1 species
CGGAGGGGCUAGCGUUGUUCGGAAUUACUGGGCGUAAAGCGCACGUAGGCGGACCGGAAAGUCAGAGGUGAAAUACCCAGGGCUCAACCUUGGAACUGCCUUUGAAACUAUCGGUCUGGAGUUCGAGAGAGGUGAGUGGAAUUCCGAGUGUAGAGGUGAAAUUCGUAGAUAUUCGGAGGAACACCAGUGGCGAAGGCGGCUCACUGGCUCGAUACUGACGCUGAGGUGCGAAAGCGUGGGGAGCAAACAGGAUU